UGAAAAUGAAAUGAAUAAUAUAAAAAUAAAUAUCUCGUGCAAGGAUAGAAAUUAUUCAAAAUUAUCGAGAAUUUUUCUCUUCAAAUAUUAUAAAUGUUUAUAAAUAUUCUUGAUGCUCGGUCGAUUCGACGUUUCUGAAAUUUCGCAAGAAGAAUCGCAACAUUACGAAAUAGUGAAAAACAGUAAUAGACUUGUAAACAGAGAACUUACGUGUACAAUUUAUCCUCUGCGUUCUUCAUAUUCAUAAAAUACUGAUGCUGAUUAGAGUUAGCCACGACAGUGUAAUUGAUUCGAGAUUGUCUGGCUAAUUGUUCCAAAGAUUGUACAGGAGACUAAAACAGUACACGAUAUUGCGAUUAGUCCUCAUUUUGAAGAUCAAAAGUAAGGAAAGCAGCUAAAUUAGCAGUGAACGUAGCCAACAUUAAAACAACGAAUAACCAAUAAGCAGCAACUAGUAUCCUGCUUGAUAAUGCUUUGGGUGCUUCGCCACCACCUUGGGGCGUGAAAGACGUCAAGGCGAACCAGAAACUCUCUUUCAACGUGAAUUCUCUAUAUACACAGAAUAUAAUUACGUUUGACAAUCAUUAUUGAUUAAGUAAUUGCUUUGUCUUUAUGACAAUCGUUAACGAUAAAAUAUAGUGGUUAUUAAGGGUAAUAUUUAUAGUCUAAUCUUGAUCUAAUUCCAACAAAUUACCAAAGAUAUUGACACGAACAUUACUAUAAUAUUAAUAAUAAUAAUCUAAAUUUCCACUAAUAAAACUUUGAUAAUUUUUUAUUAGUAAGAACUUUUAAAUUUUAGACAUUUUAAAAUUCUUACCGACAAGGAUACGGAUACAGUUGUUUAUUAUUCCUGGCGCUGUAAGGAGAAUAUUUGUCAAGUAUCCAAAUCAUGAUGCCGGUUAAUGUUAAAGCUCCUACGAUGCUUAACCACACUUCGACUUUGAGCACUGUCAUAAAUUUGAAAAGGGAUGGUUUGCGGACAGGUUUUCUCAUUACUUGUAACAAGAAAUUAAAAAAAAAAAAAUCGUAUAAUGUAAAAAUUUGUUGUAACAUUCAAAUUGAAAAUAGUUGUAUUAUUUACCAAUUAAUAAGCCGGAUUGUUCGAAAUAAGGGGCGACAAAAUCGAUCACUUCCUCACGUUCUGAAGUCAUUGUCAAUGCGGCAACUACGAUAUCUGUCUCCUAGAAAAAAAAAAAAAAAUAAUUAAAAAAAAGAAGUGAAACAUAAUAGAAGAAUAAAAGAAAGAACAGAAAUAAAUUCAUAAAAGAAGAAUAUUAAUUUGAUGGAAAAAUUGAAGAGGAUAAUGUUUUAUACAAAGAGAUAUGCACGGUUGCAGACUCGUAGGCGCCAUCAAGUUCAAUAUAUAGGGUAUUAUAUUAAGAAAAUUUCGAUAUUUCUUUAGUAAGAUGGAAAAAGAUAAAGAUUCACAGAUGAAAUGAAAUUCAGUAUACAGAUCUUACUCCUUUAGCUAGAUCACCAAUCAAGCCGUUCCAUUGCCCAUUAGGUAAUUUCUUGCCAAAUUGUCGAU